GCAAGGUCACCUUUACUGAAUACAAACUUUAGUACUACUGCUGCUUUUAAGAAGUGGGAGAAGGAAAUUAAUCUACAGGAUCAACGAGAUCAUCAUGAUGAAGCUAAUAUUUGUACUGAGUCUCUUCUGGGCGCUCUAUAGUACAGCUGGAGCCCUGACGUGUAUGACCUGCACAGACCAGACGUGUUCAAGCACAAUACCACUAACAUGUAGCUCAGAGACGAUGUGUAUAACAGCUACCAUCCGAGCUACUCAAUCUGGAACUUCAGUAACAGCUCUACAAAGCCUGUGCAGCGUCCUCUCUGUGUCCGGCUGCAGGCACCUCGACUUUUUCAGUCAACUUGGGAACCCAAAGU